rnacentral:rRNA from 1 species
AUACUUAGUACGGCGAGUGAGCGGUAAAAGCUCAAAUUUGAAAUCUGGUACUUUCAGUGCCCGAGUUGUAAUUUGUAGAAUUUGUCUUUGAUUAGGUCCUUGUCUAUGUUCCUUGGAACAGGACGUCAUAGAGGGUGAGAAUCCCGUUUGGCGAGGAUACCUUUUCUCUGUAAGACUUUUUCGAAGAGUCGAGUUGUUUGGGAAUGCAGCUCAAAGUGGGUGGUAAAUUCCAUCUAAAGCUAAAUAUUGGCGAGAGACCGAUAGCGAACAAGUACAGUGAUGGAAAGAUGAAAAGAACUUUGAAAAGAGAGUGAAAAAGUACGUGAAAUUGUUGAAAGGGAAGGGCAUUUGAUCAGACAUGGUGUUUUUUGCAUGCACUCGCCUCUCGUGGGCUUGGGCCUCUCAAAAAUUUCACUGGGCCAACAUCAAUUCUGGCAGUAGGAUAAAUCAUUAAGAAUGUAGCUACCUCGGUAGUGUUAUAGCUUAUUGGAAUACUGCUAGCUGGGAUUGAGGACUGCGCUUCGGCAAGGAUGUUGGCAUAAUGGUUAAAUGCCGCCCGUCUUGA